rnacentral:rRNA from 1 species
CCUACGGGCGGCAGCAGUGAGGAAUAUUGGUCAAUGGGCUUACGCCUGAACCAGCCAAGUCGCGUGAGUGAAGACUGCCCUAUGGGUUGUAAACCUCUUUUGUCAGGGAGCAACGCCUGCUACGUGUAGCCGGACUGAGAGUACCUGAAGAAAAAGCAUCGGCUAACUCCGUGCCAGCAGCCGCGGUAAUACGCAGGAUGCGAGCGUUAUCCGGAUUUAUUGGGGUUAAAGGGUGCGUAGGCGGAAUGCCAAGUCAGCGGUAAAAUCGCGGGGCUCAACCUCGCUCCGCCGUUGAAACUGGCGGUCUUGAGUGGGCGAGAGGUAUGUGGAAUGCGUGGUGUAGCGGUGAAAUGCAUAGAUAUCACGCAGAACUCCGAUUGCGAAGGCAGCAUACCGGCGCCCAACUGACGCUGAAGCACGAAAGCGUGGGUAUCGAACAGGAUUAGAUACCCGUGUAGUC